rnacentral:rRNA from 1 species
GAUGAACGCUGGCGGCGUGCCUAAUACAUGCAAGUCGAGCGAACAGACGAGGAGCUUGCUCCUCUGACGUUAGCGGCGGACGGGUGAGUAACACGUGGAUAACCUACCUAUAAGACUGGGAUAACUUCGGGAAACCGUAGCUAAUACCGGAUAAUAUAUUAAACCACAUGUUUCAAUAGUGAAAGACGGUUUUGCUGUCCCUCAUAGAUGGAUCCGCUGCUCUUUAGCUGUUUGGUAAGGUAACGGCUUACGAGGGCAACGAUGCGAAGCCGACCGGAGGGGUGGAUCGGCAAACCUGGAACUAAGAAACGGUCAGGAUUCCUACGGGAGGAAGCAGAAGGAAACUUUCGGCAAGGGGCGAAAGCCUGACGGAGCAACGCGGCGGAGGUAAUAAGGUUCUUCGGAUCGUAAAACUCUGUUAUUAGGGAAGAACAAAUGUGGAAGUAAAUAUGCACGUCUUGACGGUACCUAAUCAGAAAGCCACGGCUAACUACGUG